rnacentral:rRNA from 1 species
CUUGGUUAAUCCUACCAAUAGUCAUAUGAUUGUCUCAAGGAUUAAUCUAUGCAUAUAUAAGUAUGAACUAAUUCAAACUGUGAAAUUGUGAAUGGCUCAGUAAAUCAAUUAUAGUUUGUUUGAUGGUAGCUACUACUUGGAUAAUUGUAAUAAUUUUAGGCUAAUACAUGCAACAACCCUCGACUUCUAGAAGGGAUACAUUGAUUAGAUAAAAGGUUGAUGUAGGAUUUUCUUAUCACUUUGAUGAUUCAUGAUAACUCAAUGGAUCGGAUGGCCUUUGUGCCAGCUACACAUCAUUCAAAUUUUUGACCUAUAAACUUUCAAUGGUAGGAUAAUGGCCUACAAUGGUGGUGACGAGAGAUGUAAAAUUAGGGUCUAGAAAGGAAGUUGAAGAAACCGCUACCAUAUCUAAAAAAGGUAGUAGGCACACAAAUUACUUAAUCCUGACAUGGAGAGGUAGUGACAAUAAAUAACAAUACUGGGCUCUAUGAGUCUAGUAACUAGAAUGAUUAGAAUCUAAAUCCCUUAAUAAGGAUCCAUUGGAAGGCAAGUCUAGUGCAAGCAGUCAUGGUAAUUUCAACUCCAAUAGCGUACAUUUAAGUUGUUAUCGUUAAAAAGUUCAUAGUUGAAACUAGGGCUAGGUCAUCGAUCUGUCUUACGAUGGUACCAGUCUUCUCAUCCCUACAACUAACAAGGUGCUAUUGACCUUAACUAGAUGAGUUGUUCCUCUAAUGCUAUUACUUUGAAAAAAUUAGAGUGCUUAAAGCAAAUAGAGUGCUUAAAGCAAAGCUACACUUGUAUACAUUAGCAUGGGAUAAUAUCAUAGGAUUUUAGUCUUAUUGUGUUGGCCUUUAGGAUUGGAAUAAUGAUUAAUAGGGACAAUCAGAGGCAUUUGUAUUUCAUAGUUGAGGUGAAAUUCUUGGAUUUAUAAGAGAUGAACAACUACAAAAGCAUUUGCCAAGGAUGUUUUCAUUAAUCAAGAUCAAAAGUUGGGGCUUCAAAAAUGAUUAGAUAAAAUCCUAGUCUUAACUAUAAAUGAUGCUAACCAUGGAUCAACGAAUGUUACUUUUAGGACCUAUCGGCACCUUAUGAGAAAUCAAAGUCUUUAGGUUCUAAAGGGAGUAUGGUCACAAGGCUAAAACUUAAAGGAAUUGAUGGAAGGGCAUCGCCAAGAGUGGAGCCUAUGACUUAUUUGACUCAACAUGAGUAAACUUACUAGGUCCAGACAUAGUAAAGAUUGAUAGACUGAGAGCUCUUUCUUGAUUCUAUGGGUGGUGGUCCAUGGCUAUUCUUAGUUGCUAGAGUGAUUUGUCUGAUUAAUUAAGUUAACGAGUGAGACUUUAGCCUAUUAACUAGCUACACAGAAGUGAUCCUUCAUGGCUAGCCUUUUAGAGGAACUAUGGUAGCUUAGGCCAAGGAAGUUUGAGGCAAUAAUAGGUCUAUGAUGCCUUUAGAUGUUCUGCACUACACGUGAGCUGCAUUGAUGUAUUCAACAAGUUUAUAGCCUUGGUCGACAGUUCCUAGCAAUCUUUGAAAUUUCAUUAUGAUGGAGAUAAAUCAUUGCAAUUAUUGGUCUUCAAUGAGGAAUUCCUAAUAAGUGCGAGUCAUCAGCUUUUGUUGACUACAUCCCUACCCUUUAUACACACUGCCCAUCACUCCUACCAAUUGAAUGGUUUGGUGAAGUAUUAGGAUCCUGGUGAUGUGAACAGUUUGCUACCUACAACGUCAUGAAAAGUCUAUUAAACCUUAUCAUUUAAAGGAUAGUUAAGUUGUAAUAAGGUUUUCGUAGGUGAACUUGUAGAAG